UUAUCAAAGCUAUUGCAUCAUUAUGAAUGUAAUUAGAAACUGACCAUGACAAAGCAUAUGCUAGAAUGAGCUGUCACUGAUGACAGAGGAUUUGUUGCUGAGGUCUUGAAACUCUGAAAACAAAAUUCCUCGUGCAAAAUGGAUUUUGCAGUUUCAUAUAUAUGCUCGUGUUACUCUUUCUUUCCUGCUUGCCUGCAAGCUCGGGGAAUUGCUUGCUUGAAAGAGAGUGUUCUGUUAGGAUGAGACUGAAGAAUAAAGUAUUUUCUAAGUCUCUGAAGCCUCAGGUAGAUAGAAACAAACAAACGUGAAACAAGACUGGGAAAAGCUCCCUCCGAUUCACUAGCAAGCUCUGAUUGAUAUAUUGGCAUAUUGAGGAAUUCCAAGGAAAUGAAGAUGCAUGUACUGAAUGCUCUGGUAUAAUGAAAGGAUAUUAUUGCAUGUCUCUGCUUUACAGUUAGUUUUUAUGACAGGUUUUAUUCCCCAUCAGUUUUUAGCUCUUGACAUUUAUCCGGUUGUUCAGAAUUAUAUAAAGAAAAUACAUCAAUAUCUCCUGCAGGGUUUCUCAACAACUCCAGCAUCUGUUUCAGCUAUUGAACUGUAUUCACGUUUUGCCAACUUGAUGCCUACCCAGCUGGUCUGUCAUUUCUCGCUUGAUUACUGUUCUUAAUUUCUCUGUAUCAACUUGUUUCAGGCAGGGUUCUGAAAGCUGUUAAUGAGAAAUGACAGUAACUGCUUAACUGUUGAGAACUUGAGUAUUCUCUUAUUUUUAAAACAUUAGAGAGCAUUUCUGUGUGCAUUUUAUUAAAUUCAUAUUCUGUGUUGCACUGUGAGGUUUUCAUAUAAUAACUGAAUUUAACUGUGAAUACUUUAGGUGGGUCACAAACAUAACUUUGAAUAUUUUGAGAGAGUUUGAGAAAAUUUACAGGUGUUUUCUUUGGUGUAGGUAUUGUAUUAUUACAUGAUCCUUCCUCUUGUCCACCUAUCCCUCACAACAUAUAUAUUCUCCCUGUCUGUCACGGUGAACAGUCAUUAAGUGUAUAUUGUACAUAUUGAAAUAUAUUUUAUCACCACUAGGGUGAACCGGCGGAGCAGCUCUGAACAGGUGAUAGGAACAGGUUUAAAACAGACAUCAGCUCUACCAGAGUGGAUCGCCCUCGAUCAGAGAAGUGAAAGUAGUGCUUUGUAAAUGUAAUGCAUUCUCUUUCUUCCUAUUCGAAGGUUCAACAACCACUCAAACACUGCCUAAUAGCUCACAGGCUAUGAUUAUGUUAAAUUACUUGGAUUACUUUACAAAAUGCUUUCUUCUAUGUAAACUCCAUUCUUCAUUAGAUUUUUCUUCAUUAGAAAUUUUUUUUUUCACAGGUGAUAAUCAAGAAAUUACUUGUCAAACUGGAUAUUCACUUUUCUGACUUUAUCUUAAAUUACUUUAUUGGCUGUACUCUGUGUUGUCUUGUCAACAGGGAUCAGGCUAUUAAAGACUAAAUGCUGCUGAGUAAAACUGUAACAGUUUUAGAAAGAUAGAUGUUUCUAGAUACAUAGCAGUGAACCAGCCUUUGGAAAGUUUGAAUGUAAGGAUCAGUAAAACUAAUAGCUAGUGUUAUUUAGCUUCUUGUGCAUUUCCCUGUUUUGAUCAUUUACAAGAGACAUUUUAAAUUAUUUUGUAACUGCUGGGAGGGGAGAUCUACUCAUUAACAGAGAGGAGCACUGUAGGGUAUGAAUAGCCAGAAAUAGUUCUGUAGUUUUGAUGGCAAUAAAAUAAAAUUUCAUUCUAUUUCAUAGAAGUUCAAUUAAAUUUAACAAUACUUUCUCAUUGUUGAUCACAGUGAAACCAUAGAGAGAGUAACCCCUAUAAACAGCUUAAGACUCAUUCUCCUUUUCAGGGUAGCAGUAAAACUGUUUUAUAUUGCAUAUAUUAUAUCUUUAUACUCCUGAAUCUGCUUAGUCUCUUCACGUCUCCAGAAUGCUGGCUGGCAAUCAUCAUGCAGUAGUUACUUAAAAUAUUCUUUUCCCUGUGAUGCCAGUAAUUGUAACUUCAUGCUGUCUGUGGCCAUCACCCAGCUGACAAGAGAUUUUUUAGUUUAUUUCUGUCUUCUCUCUAGUAUUUCGUUUUAGCUUUCUCUUUCACUGAUGAAUUAAUAGGACACUAGGUGGAGCCAGCUGUUGAUUAAAUAUAGAUCUACAGUAAUAUAGGCCUGUUUAAUGAGCAAGCCCCAGUAUAUAAUGCUUAUUAUUAAAAAUAACAAUUUAAAAUGUUAAGAAUUGAGUUGAAACUUAGCCAUGAAAGUGUAGAUCUGGUGAGAUUAGAGGAAACCAUUUUUAAUUUUCCUUGCCUUUUAUUAUCUUAGAAGCUUGUAAUCAAAUAUGAAAAAUAAUAAUAAGGAAAGAGCAUCUAGAUUCAAUAAAGAGGGCUAGGAAGAAAAUGAACAGAAAUAGAAAAAGAAGAGGGAAGCAGCAAUAAGAACCAGCAGAUGUUUCUACUACAGAUACAUGCAGAUAUCCAGUUGUGUAUCUGAACAUCCUUUGCCUGAUGCACAGAGAUUUUCUCUCAUCCUUACAUUUAAAUCUUCCUUCCGUUCUGUCUUCCUAAAGUAAUUUAUAGAGCUGGCAUCAUUCACUUUAUAUUUAGAUGUGGGAUGCAUGUUUUCAAAUCUCUUCUUGGGAGGGUGUUCUAGAAGGUGUGCAAGGGCACAGAGAGUUGUCACUCAUAUAUUGGCCAGACAUAAUUAAGAAAACUCUGGAAGGUUAUUUAGUAAUUGAGGUGGAAUCUGGUUGUAUGUGCUCCUUCACAUAAUUCUGGUUAUUAAUCCUAGGCAAUGAUAAGGGAUCUGUAGUCCUCGGCAGUGUGACAACACAAGAAAAAUACACUCCCACAGAUAUUUACAGAUAUGUACUUCAGGUGUGAUACACACAUUAACUCAGCAAAGAAGAUAUAAAAACCAGGGUGUAUGUUGAUACUUGGUUACAUGAACUGAAGAUGAAAAAACAGGAAAUAAGUGUGAGAUGACAGGCAAACCCAGAGAUUAAGGAUGUGGGCUAGAGCAGUCUGGCAGAACAAUGACAAUUCCCAUCAGCCUCUGCUAAGUGAAGCACUUGAAAGUUUAGUCAAUGCCUUUUUCUUAUGGGAUUAAAAGGGAAUUAGGAUGUGGAGAGGCUCAAGUUAGUGAGGAAGACUUGUGGAGGAGGGAAAUGACAGCUGCCUAACACUCCAGGAGUAAUGAAGAUUAGAAGACUGGAGAUUGACCUUUGCUGAUGUUAUUCAUAGAAACUUAGAAUUUUGGUGACAUGAGGGUUAAAAUUCACCUGUUAAUAGAAAAUAAAACUAUGCAUGGACAUAGUGCUUUUUGGGGGAGCCUCGCAAGAAGCAGUGCUGCAUUGUCAACCUUAAGAGAUCUUUUUGUUUAUGAGCUGUGCAGUUUGUGGUCAACAGCAAAGCAUGGGAGGAGAUCAGUUAUGGUGGAGACAAAUUUUAUUAGUUUUCCAAAUAAUUUAAUAUUUUAUUGAAGCUAGGCUAUGAUUUUAUUUUUAAAAAUUUAUUUUAGUGGAUAGUCUUAGCCAGAAACACGGCCUUGGAAAUAUGUUAUGGUGUCAGUACAUCCAUAUCUGCUUCUGUACAUUUUCUGUUCACCAGCACCCCAGGACUAGCUUUGAAUGAACUCAUCCUGACAUGUUCUGAAUUUUCUUUCUGACAAAAGGAAGAUAUAGUGUGGCAGCUCUUGACUUUCUGCUGCUGGUCAUCUGCUGCUUCACUCAGUUUGUGGUUCCUUCUGAAGAUGGUUGAAAUUUUAGUUAAAAAAUACCCACAGUGUGGGGAAGUGUCUGACCAUCUUGGGCAAGGGCUAUGAGAAGCUGAGCCAGAAGAAAAAAGAUGUGCUCCUUCUCUGUAUCAGUGAAAUCUGUCCCUUUAAAAGUCCACUAGAAUGAGGAGAAGGGCGGGAGGAGAGGAACUAGCACAACAGGUGAGGAAUGAAAGGAUUUUGAGUUUUCCAUGAGGCAGUCAUUUGAUGAAUGAAUGGCACAUAUGGAAGUCAAAUUGUCCAAGGGAUGUUAGUGAGCAUCUGGUUAUAUACUGCCAGAGAGCAUUAUACAAAGCCAUAUUGUAUCUUAUCAAAAUGUAUUAAUAAAUUUAGUCUAUUAGCAAAGAGGGAAAUAUUUUUGUCCUUCAAAACUCAGGGUUCACAUUUUUUAGGUUUUUAAUUUAGUUAUUCAUACUGUGUAACAGAAUUAGGAUUACUAACAAUUUGGAGAGGGACAUAUUUGAUAAUCAAUGCUAAAGGGUAUCCUUUCUCUCUACCCCUUAUAAAGAUUUGGGGGUUUUUGUGUUGGUUUGUUGGUUUGUUUUGUUGGGGUUCUUUUCACAGAAUAUGAAACCACAUAUCCCUGAAACCACAUGAGAAAAAAAAAUAUAUAUAACUUCUUCCUCUACUCUGCCCUUAUGAGAUCCCACCUGGAGUACUGGGUCCAUGUGUGAGUCUCCUAAAACAAAAAAGACAUGAAGCUGCUGGAGUGGGUCCAGAGGAGGGCCAUGAAGAUGAUCAGAGGGUUGGAGCACCUUUCCUCCAAGGACAAGCUGAGAAGGUUGGGUUCUUCAGCCUGGAGAAGAGAAAGCUCUUGGGAGGCCAUAGAGAAGCCUUCCAGUACCUAAAGGGCACUUACAAGAAAGCUGAGGAGGGACAUUUUACAAGGCUAUGGAAGUGAUAGGAAAAGAAGGAAUUAUUUUAAACCGAAGGAGGAAACGUGUUGAUGAAAGAGCAAGUGAGAGGGACAAAAGAUGGGAACAAGUUUUCCAGAAAGGUGGUGCUUGCCCCAUCCCUGGAAGCAUUCAAGUUGGAUGGGGCUCUGAGCAACUCAAUCUAGUUGAGGUUAGAAUAGAUGACCUUUGAAAGGUCCCUUAUAAUUCAAAAUAUUCUAUGAUUUCUUAAACUACAAGGAUACCAGUGGUGUUGGAUCUUUCCUGCUCUAUGCCACUAGCUCCAAAAUGUCCAUGAGAUUCACUGCAGAACUGAGGAUAUGAACACAGUAGUUGUUUCUUACAGAAAUGUCCUGGACAUGAUAGACACAGUGAUGCAGUCAUGAAACAGGCAGAGCUGAAAUGGAGAUGUGAAAGAAGAUAAAUCAGGGCUUUACCAGAAUUGGAAAAAGGGAAGUAAUAAUAGUUUUAGUUGCAUCUUUUUAAAUUUUUCUUUCUGGUCUAAGCAUCUGUGCAUCAGAAUCAGGAUGCAAGAUGCACCUCUUUAUAAAAAUCAGGAAUUUCUGGCUGCACUGCAGUUUAUUUGGCUUUUGUUAUCUUUAGAAUAGAUAUUAAGUCUUAAAGAAGGAAAACCUGGAAAGUAAAUCAAGAUCAGUCAAACAGUUUUUCUUGUUAGUAUCCUCAGGUUACCCAGCUUAGUCUUUUACAUUAUGAUGCUGUUCUUUACAAGGUCUUUCUCUCAUUUAUGUUUCCCUGAAGAUCCUGCACAAAGUUCUCUGACUUACUUGAUGAUACAGAGGCUCAAGAUACUGAAAUGGUAAAGGACAUACAGUUGGUUUUGACCAAUGCUGACAAGACUCUUCUUUUUUUCUUUCUUUUGUUUUCCUUCCCCUCUAUUCCCUCCUGCCCAAAAUUUGCCACAAAUGGGGAAAGCCGAAGAUCAGAAAAAGUUAACGCAAAACUUGAACAAAAAUGGAGCUACUUGAAACUUGUGUUUUCUUAUCUAGUCUCACCUUCACCUCUUUUUGUGUCCUGAUAAUUGGGAUAAAGAGUAUAAGUAAUUUCUUCAUGAAAUCAAAUUUUUUUAGCAUUCAGUUUUGAUCACUUAUAUUGAUCUGUUUCCCUGAAACUUAAAAGCCACACUAAAUAAAACCACCACAUGCUGCUUUCUGUAGACUUUCCUUUUAUGACUAACUUGUUAUUUGUAUACAGCCAUUAUGCAGGUCACACUUACUUUUGCAAAAAAAAUAAAGCACAGAUACUGGGAAAAAGUUCAUAAUUUUAUCUUUUUUUGUAACAAAAAUAAUUUAAAUAUUCUCACACUCUGCUCAUAUUUAACACAUCUUUAUUUCUUAUUACUACAAAAUAUAAUUUAUAAUGGGAAUUCCUCUGUAAUUUGAUUUUAAUGGUCCCAAAUGGUAUUAAAUAACUAUCCCUUGGUACAGAGACCACUUUUUCAAAGAGAAAGCUGAAAUUUUAUCAAUUUGUUUAAAUCAAGGGUUUUCACAAAAAAAACCCAACCCAACCAACCAACCACCAAAAAAAAAAAAAAAAAACCACACAAAAAAACACUCCAAAGUAUUUCACUUUCCAGUCCCAGCUUGGUUUCUAUUCACUGUUGGUAAGGACUAUAAAAAGUUAAAUACUCAACCUGUGGUCUUCAGUAAUGAUUGCAGGCCCUGAAUUGUGACUGAAUCAAGUUUGAUAACAAGGCAGAAAAGCAAAGGUAUUAAACAACUUCAGGUACAUGUAAAAUGUUAUAUUUAUAUGCUUAUGAGUCCUAAUGGAAAGAAUUUUUUAAAUAUUGAAAUAUUCAGUGACUGAAGGUUGAAGUUAAGGGUAUUAAGAACUUUAAGAUGUUUAUGCUUGAGUGUCUUUGAUAACUCUCAAGCUAAUAGUAAAGUUACUGAAUUCUCAUUUCUUAGUGGCCUUAUUUUGAACUACUGAAAGGCACAAGGGAUUUUUAUCUUAUGAAUGAAUUUGGUACUUAGCAAAACAUUUCAAAAACAGUGAAAUAAAUUGCCUGUCCAGUGUGAUUAAAUCUGUGUUUCUUCAGAUAUUUCUGCAGAAGCCAAGAAAAAAAAGCAUGUCACAGAUGUUGAUAAAUCCCUAAUUGUAUUUAUUCCCAGGCUGUGUUAUUUUCCAAAACUUCAGAAAUAAUGAGGAUUAGGUAAGUGAUCAGUUAUGAUGUUACCUGAACCAAGAAUAAACAAAUCAUAAGGCAGUUAUGAUUAUGAGGAGAUUCUCAGGCUACUAAUAUAAGGAUGUAAUGAAGAAGCAAAAACUAAAAUUCUUGGCAUACUCUGGCACUGUAUGCCAGCACAAGUGCCAUGAGAAUGUGAAAAAUCAAAUAUGGUUUGCUUUCUUCAGAGAGCCUAUUCUUAACUUCCUGUUGAGUUUCUUCAGCAAGGUAAAAAUACUUGAAAUAAUAAUGCUUGAUUGUCUGUCAAAAUACCUAAUCCUACACUUUUCUUACAGGCACUGUUUGUUGAACUGUGUAGGCCUAAACGUAUCUUUGAAUCAUCAGCCUUAGACAAAGUGUUAGUGCAGAUGAUAAGGGCCCCAUAACAGUAGGGGAGUAGUAUACUGCUGAAGAGAACCAAUUAGGGUUAUUCCUCUGGCAACAAGCAAAUGAAUUUUUCCUUAAUGAGUCCUUAGUGAAAGUGGUAUUUACUGUGAUACUCUGUGUGACCUGGCUGACCCAUCAAGUAAGAGGCAGCCCGAGCAGUUCUGUUGUUGUAGCACACAAUUAUGUAUAUCUGCCUAAGCCGAGAGAGCAGAACGUGUUAAUUUGUUAUUAUCUAAUGUGGAUGCUUUAUUAUCUAUUUUGUGACAUCAGUGUAUGUGGCAUGUGAGAAAUCAUAGAGAAAAGUGACUUUGCUCUAGGGAACAAUAUGUAAUUAAUGUGAAGGGUCUGCAUUGCAUCCUGAAAACCAGGCACAGAAUGAUGACUGCAAACCUUGACCAGCUGUGAAGUUGUAAAUACCCUAAGCAGAAAAGAGAUUGCAUUUUAUGGCGUUCUUGGUACUCAGAGCUUGAGGAUUUUACACUGAAUGAAAAUUGUCUUGUGCAGAGAGAAGCCACCCAUUGAUGAUUCUGAGAUGCCAUGGAAACAGAGAUACCCUUAUUAGGCGUUGCAGUUUGUGUGUGAGCCAGAGAUAGGUAUGUCAUUGGGAAUCCUCCACUGCCUGUACUGCAACAGAAACACUGAAACUGAGAGAGAGGGAGAUGAAGCAUCUGCAAUGAAAGAGAGAAAAAAUGAGCUGGUCACUUAGAUGAGGGAAAUGCAGUGGUGUAAUUCAGAGGACUAACUUAUUCUGCUGCUGCUUCAUGCAACUUGUUGGUAUCUUCCAGGCCAGGAGAUAUGUUUUUACCUGAGUGAACAACCAUCUCAGAACAGCAUUAUUAUGAUUCAGGAGAGAAAACACAAGGCACUUGGUUUGUCUUGCAGCACAGUUUGCUGGUUUAACACCUUACCCCAGAAGUUGUAGAAAUAUGAGAAAGCACAAACUACUGAGAGAUGUAUGAGUGCUGAAAUCAUCAGUUUUAUUUUGUUCUCUGGGAUUUACUAGGUCCCAGCUCUCUCCAUUUAGUUUAAAGGGAAAAUAAAUUCAUAUUGAUAGUGCUGGACAAAGCUGCACUGACAAGACUGGAAAAGCCAUUUUUUGUGCCCCCAGAGUCAGUAUAGCACUGGGAAGUGUUGGCCUCACCAAUAUCAGCACGGCGCUGGAUGGAGGAGAGGGAGAACAGUGCACAGAGGUUUUGGCAGCGGUGAUCCCUCUCUCCGAGGUGAAUGCAUUUGGCAAGGUUGAUGGUCCCAGGGGAAGGGGCUGCAGGGGUGGCCUCUGGCAGAAAAGGCCAGGAGCUGUCCCCUGUCUGACACUGGUGCUUCCAGCCAGCUCCACUGGAUCCACCCCAGGGCACAGCGGAGCCCAUGGCCAAGCUCGUGGUGCCUCAUGAAAAGCCUGUUUGAGGAAGGGCAAAGCACUGCCCUACACCAAUUGAGGGGAAAACAGAGUGGAACAGCAGGAGGAAAACCAGAGUCAGAGGAGAAUAGGAGGAUGUGCUCCUGGUGCUAGAAAAGAUUCCCCUGCAGCUCUUGGAGAAGACUGUGCUGGAGCAAAUAUCCACAAGGCAGUCCCUGGAGGACACCAGGUCAGAGCAUGGUCAGAGUACAUUCCUUCCUAAAGGAAGCUGCAGCCUAUGAAGGGCCCAUAGAGGAGUGGGUGGCUCUUGAAGGGCUGCAUCCUGUGGGAGGAUCCAGGAUGGCUCAGGGGAAAAGUGUGAAGAGGGUGCAGCAGAAGAGAGCAGCUGUUACAGACUGAGCACAAUGCCCAUUGCCCACCACCCAGUGUCCUGCACUGUCAGAGUGGUGGGGAAGGGGUUGAGAGGUAAGAGCCUCGGAAAAGAAGAGACAUGGGGGACAGGUAUUAUUUAAAUCAUUUUGUCUUUGCUUUUUCUAUCUCAUUCUAAAUUAAUUGGCAAUAAUUUACAUUAUUUUCCCCCAAGAUGAGUCUGUUUUACCCAUGACACAACUGGUAAGUUACUCUCUGUUGACACAGGAUUUUGCAUUCUGUUUUCUACCCCUGUCCUGUUGAGCCUAGGUGGGUGUCUGGCUGCUGACUGAGGUCAACCCACCACAGUAACGUGAACAGAAUUAUUCCACCUGAGCUUUCCAAAUUGACAGGACAUAAUGACUCAAGUUUGGUAAUUUUUAGAGAUAAUUGGUGGGAAUGUGUGGGUGUGGACCACAGCUGAUACUUGGAAAAAAAAAAAAAAAAGUUUGUAAAGUUAAAUCGCACUCCAAUUGAAGCACAGUCACUCCAGAGGUGUUUAUCCAGAACUUGCCCUGAAAAGAUGAUGAAAAUACAUUGUGCAAAGGGCAUCAUUACUAUUUUAAAGCUGCUGUAGGUUGUGUACACCUGAGCUAAGAUUAGGGGCAUGAGGAAUUUGUUUGAGCAACAUCAAGAGUGCCUUGCAUUGCUAAUGUUUUUGUCUGCUAGAGAGGGAUUUAAUGUAUCAAAAUUUUUUUUUGGCUGUACUAAUAACAUAUUAUCAAAUCUUGCGUUUAACCAAUUCUAAGGAUGUUUCCUCACUUUUAAGUACUUAAAACUGAGAUAUGAUGCUGUGGCUGUGACAGGCUAUUAAU